UACGGAGGGAGCGAGCGUUGUUCGGAAUCAUUGGGCGUAAAGCGCGCGCAGGCGGUUGGGUAAGUCAGACGUGAAAGCCCUUGGCUCAACCAAGGAACUGCGUUUGAAACUGCCCGGCUAGAGUUUGGGAGAGGGUGGCGGAAUUCCCAGUGUAGAGGUGAAAUUCGUAGAUAUUGGGAGGAACACCUGUGGCGAAGGCGGCUACCUGGACCAAAACUGACGCUGAGGCGCGAAAGCCGGGGGAGCAAACGGG
rnacentral:rRNA from 1 species